UACGUAGGGUGCAAGCGUUAAUCGGAAUUACUGGACGUAAAGCGUGCGCAGGCGGUGAUGUAAGACAGUUGUGAAAUCCCCGGGCUCAACCUGGGAACUGCAUCUGUGACUGCAUCGCUGGAGUGCGGCAGAGGGGGAUGGAAUUCCGCGUGUAGCAGUGAAAUGCGUAGAUAUGCGGAGGAACACCGAUGGCGAAGGCAAUCCCCUGGGCCUGCACUGACGCUCAUGCACGAAAGCGUGGGGAGCAAACAGG
rnacentral:rRNA from 1 species